GGAAGUCCAAAAACCAUGCUACAUUCGCUACCCCUCUAUCAAGCCUUUCCCGUAUAUUUGUUGAAGCAAAAUUAUCCCUUUCCCACGUGAACCAUAAACCCAAAAAACCUAUAUCCAUUAAUUGACACUCCUCAAGAGCAACACGAAAAGCCUCCAUUCUCUUUUCCUCUCUUAGAACCCCUCAUUCGUUCUCAAAAGAGUAAAGAAUUUCAUUAAAAUCCCCACAGACUAGAUCAGAGUCUUCCUAGUUG
rnacentral:lncRNA from 1 species